rnacentral:lncRNA from 1 species
CUAAAACUCAAGGAGCAAAGAAUGAUGCCUCUCUCACAGAUUACAAAGAACAAAUGAGACAACAAAUGCAGUUCAAAUUACUUACAAGCCUACCAUUGCAGAGAGCCAAUGCUUACCAUACAGAAUCACCUCACAACAUUAAAACUUGUAAACAAUGGACUGGAGGCUUGCGAACAGUGAAAAAUCAACUACAAUCUUUCAUCAGGAAAUUUUCAACUUAGAGUAAUAACCAACCAAGCAAACUUUCUGAAAUUAAGUAAAUUAUUGAAAUAUUUUGUGAUGUAUUAAUAAGCAAAGGUGAAAACUCAAACACCUUGGGUUCUGUGUAGGAGCUUCUUACAUACGAAAUCAACAGGUUUUGAAUAUCUGAAGAGCAGCUGAGUCUGUGUGCUAUCACAGCCUUUUUGAGGACCUACUUACUAUAUGUGUAUUUCAUUGAAACUGAAAAUAGAGGUGAUUUUUACUGCUUGUGUCAUAGUAUCUCAAGUGACUAAUAUAAGAUUGCCUUGUAUUAGUAACAUAUAAAUA